ensembl:lncRNA
AUACACAACACCCAAAACCCAAUACACAGUAUACAGUUUAAUAACAAAACAACGCUUAAUUUUGUAUUUAUAUUAUAUGUUUGGAUGUAAUAACAUCAAUAUUAGCAGAAAAAAUAAUUAUUAGUACGAUUCUUCUAACAUCAAAAACAUGUCAGAUCAUCCAGAGGGUAUUUCUUACCAAGAGGAUCACAAUCAUAAUAAUAACUUUUACAAUAACCAAAAUAAUUAUGAAAAAAAUCAAUUAACACUAAGUAGUGACAAGGAUAAUAUACAGUCCCCCAAAUUACAAUAUAAGACAGAUAUUCCGGUCAAAUAUAAUAACGAAACAUAUGAAGAACGAACAAAAUAUAAUAAAAAAAAAAGUACAUUUUAUGAUCAUAGUACUACAACACAUAGUAUUUUUCCUUUUAGUACUUCGACAUAUGAUCAUAAUAAAACAAAUUUUAAUAAAAAUAAUGAUACCACAAUAAGCAACACGAAGUUGUCUCAUGAAUAUAAAAAUAAUAUAAGUGACAUAAAUAUGUAUAAAAACGAUGGUACAAUAAUAGAUAUUCCAAAUAAUAAUACAAACGAAGCAACCAAUUGUUACUUAAACUAUGGGGAUAACGGUUAUAAUGACUAUAAUAAAGAUGGUAAUAGUACCUAUGACACGUUGCAUAAAAAUUGUGGACUAACGAACUGUUACAAAGAGUAUGAUCCGAAUAUUAACUAUCAAAUUGGUUCACAGCUUCAUAACAAAAACUAUGAUGAUAAUUGUAAAAAUAAAAUUCUAGCUGAAAAUAUGAUGGGUUUAAAAGAAGAAGGAAUAAAUACUAUUACUGAUGUUGGUGUCAACAAUAUCAAUGUAAUUGAUAUACAUACUACAAAAUAUGAUGAAGAAAAAAGUAACGAUUUAAAUAAAAAUAUGCAUUACAAAAUAGAUGACCGAAGUGACAGCUUUUAUGUCAAUCGGGUUAAAGAUUUGAACCAUACUAAAAUUUUUUAUGAAAACAACAGUUAUAAUGGAUCUAAAACAUAUAAUUCUAAAAAAAAAAAUAUUAACAGUGACUUUGUUCCUAAAUAUAAACAACUUUCCUCGAAAGAAGCUCUUUAUAAUAAUUUGAUAGGGAAUGAUAAUAUAACAGUUUUAGCAGCUAAUCAAAUAAAAUUAGAUUUGAGUAAAUUACCACAAAAAGAUAUGAAUCUAUUACCUGACGUGUACCCUUUCCAUUUAUCAGCAGAAAAUAAAAAAAAUAAUAAUAAUACUAUUAAUAAUAAUAAUAAUAAUAAGAAUAUACGAUUGGAAAAAUUAUACCCAACCAAUUAUAAUUAUAUUAAUAAUUAUAAUACAAAAAAUGCUGAUAUAACUUUAGAGGAAAGAAGAAAUUAUAUGAACUCAAGUCAUAUUUUUGAAUAUGAUUCUGAAAAAUAUGUAGAUGUAAAAAAUGAACAAAAUAAAAAUUUAAAUAUGAUAACUAAUAUAACAAAUUAUAAAUUAUAUAAUAUAGAUAUAGAAAAAGAUGAAAAAAGAAAACAAAAUCCAAUGUACACUGAUUUAUUUGGUAGAAAAACACCUGAUGUUAAUAAAAAUAUGUCAUGUUCAAAAAAUAUGUCAACUGAUAUUAAUAAUAAUUCGAUAAAUUUAACAAAAGAUUGUAAUAAUAAUUAUGACAAGUCAUAUGAUACUUAUGCAAAUUAUUUAAAAGAACAUGGUAAAGAAAGUUUUCAUAGAGUGUCCAAAUUUUCAAAAGAUAGUUUUGAUUGUAGAAAACAACUUCAAGCUGCUUUAGAAAAAGGUUCAAAGGCUUGUUUACAGGUUAAUUUAAAAUCGUAUAUACAAGAUGAUACUAACACAUCAACCUCUACAAGUAAUAAUAAUGAUAAUAUUAAAUUAGACGUAGCUUAUUUUUCUUUACAAAAUAUAAAUGACUCAAUAACUGAUGAUGAAAUAAAACAGGUUGUUAAAAAUAGCCAAUCAUAUUUAGUUAAUUAUCA